rnacentral:rRNA from 1 species
ACUAUCGGCGGGCGGAGCGCCACGACCGGUUCGUCGGCGGCGAGAAACUCCCGGGCAAGGUGACCUUCGUCUCGGCGCAGGAGCAUACAGGCCCGGUGAGCGUCGGCCCGUCGGUGGACCGAGGAAGACCGUCGCGGAGCGGCGUCGACCGUUCGUCGUGUGUUGGCGUUCGACUCGGGGGGACUGGUUCCAGUGCCCUCGGACCGCGCCGGCGCAGCGGCGGGCGCGCACGGCGUCGCGCCUGGGGUCGGUGGCGAAACGGCCGGCAACCUGUCCGACCCGUCUUGAAACACGGACCAAGGAGUCUAACAUGUGCGCGAGUCGUUGGGCGCUACGAAACCCGAAGGCGCAAUGAAAGUGAAGGCCCGGUCUCCGGCCGGCCUGGGUGGGAUCCCGGCGGUCUCGGCCGUCGGGCGCACCACCGGCCCGUCUCGUUCGUUACGUCGAGGAGGCGGAGCAAGAGCGUACACGUUGGGACCCGAAAGAUGGUGAACUAUGCCCGAGUAGGACGAAGCCAGAGGAAACUCUGGUGGAGGUCCGCACCGAUUCUGACGUGCAAAUCGAUCGUCAAACUUGGGUAUAGGGGCGAAAGACUAAUCGAACCAUCUAGUAGCUGGUUCCUGUCGAAGUUUCCCUCAGGAUAGCUGGCGCUCGUCGUGAGCAGUUUUAUCCGGUAAAGCGAAUGACUGGAGGCCUUGGG